rnacentral:sRNA from 1 species
CGGUUCCGCUUGCGAGCAGGCUUUCGGUACGAAUAGGGGCAGGCACCCAUCGUCAACACACCCAGCGAAGGUGUGGAACCGUUACGGAUCUUAGAGAAGAAAGAAUCCAGAUACUGCAAGCG